GUAGCGUUGGCAGAUAAAUGUAUUUGCUUUAGGAGCAAAAAAUAUGAAGUUUUUCAUACGUUAUA
rnacentral:tRNA from 1 species